rnacentral:rRNA from 1 species
CACGGGGAGGUAGUGACGAAAAAUAACGAUACGGGACUCAUCCGAGGCCCCGUAAUCGGAAUGAGUACACUCUAAAUCCUUUUCCAAGGACCCAUUGGAGGGCAAGUCUGGUGCCAGCAGCCGCGGUAAUUCCAGCUCCAAUAGCGUAUAUUAAAGUUGUUGCGGUUAAAAAGCUCGUAGUCGAAUCUGUGUCCCGCGCCGCUGGUUCAUCGCUCGCGGUGUUCAACUGGCGUGUCUCGCGGGACGUCCUGCCGGUGGGCCGUCGAAUUGAUUUGCUUCGUGCGGUCGUUCGUAGCCCAACUCGUAUCCGCUUCGGCGGGUGCGAAUCCCAUCGCGGUGCUCUUUAUUGAGUGUCGAGGUGGGCCGGCACGUUUACUUUGAACAAAUUAGAGUGCUUAAAGCAGGCCAAUUUUGCCUGAAUAUUGUGUGCAUGGAAUAAUGGAAUAGGACCUCGGUUCUAUUUUGUUGGUUUUCGGAACCCCGAGGUAAUGAUUAAUAGGAACGGAUGGGGGCAUUCGUAUUGCGACGUUAGAGGUGAAAUUCUUGGAUCGUCGCAAGACGGACAGAAGCGAAAGCAUUUGCCAAAAACGCUUUCAUUGAUCAAGAACGAAAGUUAGAGGUUCGAAGGCGAUCAGAUACCGCCCUAGUUCUAACCAUAAACGAUGCCAGCUAGCGAUCCGCCGACGUUCCUCCGAUGACUCGGCGGGCAGCUUCCGGGAAACCAAAGCUUUUGGGUUCCGGGGGAAGUAUGGUUGCAAAGCUGAAACUUAAAGGAAUUGACGGAAGGGCACCACCAGGAGUGGAGCCUGCGGCUUAAUUUGACUCAACACGGGGAAUCUUACCAGGCCC